CUCUACUAUUACUGCUACUGUCACUGCACUACCGUCUACCGUACCGCAUUUUUGCUGAUACUUCACCGUUUGUUGUUCUUUUUUUUGUUUUCUCGUGAACUGGACCGUUUUUGCCUUUGAAUUCGCUUAUUCGACCGUUUCGGAUUGUACGGACAAUCUUCGAUACCUGUCGACCGACCAGCCUGCCGCACCUGGACUUGUACCGCUAAAAUAGGCGAAGAAAGAAACAUCAUUUCUACUAUUAUGAAGAGGGAAGUGAAACUCAUCGGACAUCUGAUAAGACACAACACUUUUGUGUCAAACAUCUUGGAGGGGAAGAUUAUGGGAAAACGAUCAAGAGGAAGAUCCAGACCAUAUCAUACUUAAACGACAUAAAUCAACGAAUGGCGUUUCUUGUUGGCGUUUUUUCUAAUAUAAACAUUAUUUCUCAAUCAUACAGUAAGUGUUCUAAAAUCAUUAAUUUACAAAUUUUCAUUAUUUCAUAAUAUUGUUUUUUUAUAUGUAAUAAC